CAGAAACAAGAGAGCUGUAACAUACCCGUGUUUGCCAUGCUGCCAGCAUGAAGAAGUGAAGCCACUGGAUACCACUCCCUACUGCUUGCUGAGCAAUGGAUACACAUGUCAGAGUGUGUAUUUAGAGAUAAACUGACAUCCAAUCUGCAGCCUGCAUGCAAAAGUCUUACGCAAAAAAGAAAGAAGCUCUAAAGCUGAAGGGGCUUUCUGGGUAUCUGCUGGAAGAUUAAAGACAUUUAUUGCCUAUGCCUGCCUAGGGCAAGGGACAGGAUACAGGGCAAGAAGAAGACAGAUCCAAAAGCCUGGGAAAACAGAGGCCAAAGACGAAAUUCCUUGGGAGAGUAAGAGUUCAGAACAGCAACUACGCAUAUAGGAGAAAACAAAGUGCAACUUUUCCUCAGAAAAGAUGGACUUGGUGGAUCUGUGGGCCCGGUGCAAGCAAGAGGUGGAGGCUGACACAAAAUUGUAGUUGGCCUGGCUCAGGGGUGAAAAGAGAUCCAUCUCAGAUGCUCAAAGAUGGAGAAAGAAGUGUGUUGUGUUGUGUUGUGUUGUGUUUUCCUCCAGGCAUUUAAGAUAACCAAUCCAACCAAUCAUAUCUCAGGACGCUGAAGACAGAAUGUUUGCAGGCUCUCCCAGAAAAUAGCUAAGGAGGACAUUUGUAUUCUUCCUCUUUUCAUGUCAUCGGUACUUCCUCUCUAUAUGGAUCACUGAAGUGUAACAUUUUAUGAUUCAUGUUUGAGUAUGGGAAGCAGGGGGUGUGACCCCUUAUUGUUACACUUCAGUCUGUUUUACCACAUUUUUUUGCACAUAAGGUUCAAAAUCAACAACCCAGUAGUGUUUUUACUUUCCUUGCCAUUCUUUUCAAGUGGAUUUUUAAUCCACUGAGGACCUUCUGGAGAAAGUAGGCUAUGGUUUUGGUCAGUAUUUUCAUAUUUCUGGAUUCCUAGGCCACGCUACCAUCUAUUAGAGUUUCAUUGUUUAUAUUAUCUGGCAUAUUGAGACCAAAACAAAACAACAGAGAAGCCUUUAAAUAUUGUAAGAGUAUUGAAAACUGGAAAAAUAUUUGAAAAAUUUUGUGUGCUAAUGUAUAAUGUAAAAUUAAGUUCAUAGAACAAUGAUGAAAAUAAGUGAUAUUUAUACAAUAUGAUCCCAAUUCCUAAAUGUGUGAGGUUUUUUUCCUCCCUCAAAUUAUUUUUUAUUUGUUUGUUUGUGUACUUGAAGGUGAUCUCCCUUGUAAAUAAGAGUAAAAUUUCUAAGAUGGUCUGUAAAUAUUUUAAAUAUAGAAUCCGUAUAUUUUCAGGUUAAGAGUGCAAACCCUGGAGGCAACAACCCGUAUUUUAAUCCUGACCAGUCAAUUUUCUAACUGUACUGCCUUGGUCCAGUCACUUACCUACGUGCCUCAGCUUUCAUAUAUUUGAUAUGGAAAUAAUUAAAAUAUCUACCUUGUAGAGUUAUGAGAAUUAAAUAAUUUUUUAAAUGUGCCAAUUAUACCAAAUGUUCUCUAAAUGCCCCAAAAUAAUCAGACUAGAAUCAGGAAUGAAAAUAGUAGAUAUGAGAUGAGGCAAGAAACAAUGUCUUAGUUGUCAUAGUUGUUGCACACUGGAAAAAAAUCUGUUCAUUUAAAAUAUUUAUAUUUUUAGGUAUGUGGGCUCACCUACCCUAGUAGACCAUGCCCCAUGACUUUACAUGGAAAGAAAGCAUUCUUCAUAUGAGUAUUUUCCAGUAGUGAGCAUUCUCAAUGUCUUAAAAUAUCUUAGAACUUAUUUCCAAACUCACAAUGCAAAUCUAUGCAGAUUAAAUCCUUCUACCUACAUGAAUGGCCAGCUAGUUCCUAGGUGAGUAAAAAAAAAUUGAAUUAUUUCAUUCUUAAAGGGAAGAAACAAUUUAUGCUUAUAUUGUAAUUAUAGUUUAAGCAUUACAAAAUGUAGCAUGAUUACUCUAGAAAAAUGUUACACAACAGUAAUACUGAAUGUAAUCUUUUAUUUUAUUAUUCUUAUUUUUUUGGCAGGGUCUCAUUCUGUCACCCAGGCUGGAGCACAGUGGUAGUCAGAGCUCACUGCAGCCUUAACCUCCCGGGCUCAAGCAAUCCUCCCACCUCAACAGUCAGAGUAGCUGGGACUACAAGCAUGAGCCAGCACACCUGGUCAGUGAAUGUAAUAUUUUAUAUGCAUCAGUUUCCAUAUAACUAAAGCUUUUAAGGAAAAAUGUUUACUCUGACAAUAGCCAUAUUUAUACCAGUUAUUCGCUAAACUGAGUAUCCUAGCCAUGGGAUUCUAAUAUGUUUUCCAUUAAAACAAAACAAAACAAAAUGAAAAUUAUUUUUCAAUCAUCAAGUGUCAAUUUUGCUGUUGUCAAGAGGUAUGCCUCUUCUUACCCUUUAUAAGACACUAUUUUUAUUAUGCUGUGGUGUAUGAAACCUGGUAACUUUAUUCAAGUGUACAAUUCUUGCUCAUGGGCUUUUAAACGUAUAAUUCAACUUUUAAAAAAUCUGAGAUUUCUUUCCAGUUUGUUGGCUGAGUCUGGAUAGUCCACAUUGUCAGAUUAAUGGAAUAAAAAUGUGUCACAUCAUAAAGCCUAGAACUGUUGGAAUAAACUUUGCCAAUAUUACUUUAUUUUUAAAACAUAUCUUUUGUAUAUUGCUAACUAGGAUUGUUUUUGCCUUCUAAUUUUGAAAUGUGCGGGUGUUAUUUCACCAAGUAACUAAGCCUUUUCUUCGCAAAUACAUCUUAAUAAGUACUUUUAAUUUAAAUGAGUUCUUCUAAUAGUGAUUCCUAAGACGUCCAAGUGUGAUUUAAAGAGAGGGCUCUCCAAAUAUCAAAUAUAUAAUUAUUUUAAAUUAAUUUUAUGGAUUGCAAGGUGCCAAAUAAAGGAGGUGAUGAUCAAUGAUAAUAUAAGCUCAAAAUCACCUGGAAAUAAUUGUAAGUUCAAUAUAUUUUAUAUUAACAAAUUUUGUGGAAAG
rnacentral:lncRNA from 10 species